rnacentral:rRNA from 1 species
UACAGAAAGUGCAAGCGUUAUUCAGAUGGAUUGGGUGUAAAGGUAUGUAGGUGGCCGUUUGAACGGAAUACGAAAAGCUAGAGUAUAACUGUAGACAGGUAUUUCCCGAUUAUUUGAGCUAGAGUUAGGAAGGGGUUGAUAGAAAUUCUUUGUAGGGUAAAAUCAGCAAUAAUGGAAUGAAUACCAAAGGCGGAGGCAGUCUCUACUCUUAACUGACACUGAGGUACGAAAGCAUGGGGAGCAAACAGG